GACGAACGCUGUCGGCGUGCUUAACACAUGCAAGUCGAACGAUGAAGCCCAGCUUGCUGGGCGGAUUAGUGGCGAACGGGUGAGUAAUACGUGAGUAACCUGCCUUUAACUCUGGGAUAAGCCUUGGAAACGGGGUCUAAUACCGGAUACGACCAACCCUCGCAUGGGGUGUUGGUGGAAAGGGAUUUUGUACUGGUUUUAGAUGGGCUCACGGCCUAUCAGCUUGUUGGUGAGGUAACGGCUCACCAAGGCGACGACGGGUAGCCGGCCUGAGAGGAUGACCGGCCACACUGGGACUGAGACACGGCCCAGACUCCUACGGGAGGCAGCAGUGGGGAAUAUUGCACAAUGGGCGCAAGCCUGAUGCAGCGACGCCGCGUGAGGGAUGACGGCCUUCGGGUUGUAAACCUCUUUCAGCAGGGGAGAAGCGAAAGUGACGGUACCUGCAGAAGAAGCGCCGGCUAACUACGUGCCAGCAGCCGCGGUAAUACGUAGGGCGCGAGCGUUGUCCGGAAUUAUUGGGCGUAAAGAGCUUGUAGGCGGUUUGUCGCGUCUGCUGUGAAAGCCCGGGGCUUAACCCCGGGUUUGCAGUGGGUACGGGCAGACUAGAGUGCAGUAGGGGAGACUGGAAUUCCUGGUGUAGCGGUGAAAUGCGCAGAUAUCAGGAGGAACACCAAUGGCGAAGGCAGGUCUCUGGGCUGUAACUGACGCUGAGAAGCGAAAGCAUGGGGAGCGAACAGGAUUAGAUACCCUGGUAGUCCAUGCCGUAAACGUUGGGCACUAGGUGUGGGGAACAUUCCACGUUUUCCGCGCCGUAGCUAACGCAUUAAGUGCCCCGCCUGGGGAGUACGGCCGCAAGGCUAAAACUCAAAGAAAUUGACGGGGGCCCGCACAAGCGGCGGAGCAUGCGGAUUAAUUCGAUGCAACGCGAAGAACCUUACCAAGGCUUGACAUAUACUAGAUCGCCUCAGAGAUGGGGUUUCCCUUCGGGGCUGGUAUACAGGUGGUGCAUGGUUGUCGUCAGCUCGUGUCGUGAGAUGUUGGGUUAAGUCCCGCAACGAGCGCAACCCUCGUUCUAUGUUGCCAGCACGUAAUGGUGGGGACUCAUAGGAGACUGCCGGGGUUAACUCGGAGGAAGGUGGGGAUGACGUCAAAUCAUCAUGCCCCUUAUGUCUUGGGCUUCACGCAUGCUACAAUGGCCGGUACAAAGGGUUGCGAUACUGUGAGGUUGAGCUAAUCCCAAAAAGCCGGUCUCAGUUCGGAUUGGGGUCUGCAACUCGACCCCAUGAAGUCGGAGUCGCUAGUAAUCGCAGAUCAGCAACGCUGCGGUGAAUACGUUCCCGGGCCU
rnacentral:rRNA from 1 species